GAUAAGUUGAGCGUGCGAUUGGAAAAGCACGUCUAAGUAAGUAGACAGAGGAGAUAGGCAAAUCCGUUUCCUCACUUAAUGUCGAGAUACGAUGGGGAUCGAAAAAUAAGUAGAGAAGCAACUGACUCCACACUGCCAAGAAAAGCCACUAUCGAGUAAAUAACUACCCGUACCGCAAACCGACACAGGUAGGCGAGGAGAGAAUCCUAAGAUGAGCGGAAGAACUAUUGUUAAGGAACUCGGCAAAAUGACCCCGUAACUUCGGGAGAAGGGGAGCCAGAGAAGGAUAGAUUGAACAAUCGAAAGAACAUCUGGCCGCAGUGAAUAGGCCCAAGCGACUGUUUACCAAAAACACAAGUCUCUGCUAAGUCGAAAGACGAAGUAUAGGGGCUGACACCUGCCCGGUGCUGGAAGGUUAAGGGGAAGGCUUAGCGCAAGCGAAGGCUAGAACUUAAGCCCCAGUAAACGGCGGCCGUAACUAUAACGGUCCUAAGGUAGCGAAAUUCCUUGUCGGGUAAGUUCCGACCCGCACGAAAGGUGUAACGAUUUGGGCACUGUCUCAACAAUAGAUCCGGUGAAAUUGUAGUAUGCGUGAAGAUGCGCAUUACCCGCGACAGGACGGAAAGACCCCGUGGAGCUUUACUGCAGGCUGACAUUGGAUUUUGGCAUUACAUGUACAGGAUAGGUGGGAGACUAAGAAACUAGGGCGCCAGUCUUAGUGGAGUCAACCUUGGGAUACCACUCUUGUGAUGCUGAAGUUCUAACCUGGUACCAUGAAACUGGUAUAGGGACACUGUCAGUUGGGCAGUUUGACUGGGGCGGUCGCCUCCUAAAAUGUAACGGAGGCGCUCAAAGGUUUCCUCAGCACGGUCGGAAAUCGUGCGAAGAGUGUAAAGGCAAAAGGAAGCUUAACUGCGACACCAACAAGUGGAGCAGGAACGAAAGUUGGACUUAGUGAUCCGGUGGUUCCGAGUGGAAGGGCCAUCGCUCAACGGAUAAAAGCUACCCCGGGGAUAACAGGCUUAUCUCCCCCAAGAGUCCACAUCGACGGGGAGGUUUGGCACCUCGAUGUCGGCUCGUCUCAUCCUGGGGCUGAAGUAGGUCCCAAGGGUUGGGCUGUUCGCCCAUUAAAGAGGCACGCGAGCUGGGUUCAGAACGUCGUGAGACAGUUCGGUCCCUAUCCGUCGUGGGCGUAGGAAAUUUGAGAGGAGCUGUCCUUAGUACGAGAGGACCGGGAUGGACGAACCGCUGGUGUAUCAGUUGUCUUGCCAAAGGCAUGGCUGAGUAGCUAAGUUCGGACGGGAUAAGUGCUGAAGGCAUCUAAGCACGAAGCCCCCCUCAAGAUAAGAUUUCCCAUCACAUAAGUGAGUAAGACUCCAGGAAGACCACCUGGUAGAUAGGUCUCAGGUGAAAGAGUAGUAAUACUUGAAGCUAAGAGAUACUAAUAAGUCGAGGACUUGACCAA
rnacentral:rRNA from 1 species